rnacentral:lncRNA from 1 species
CCCUCUCCCUAGCCCGGUGUGCAGUCUGACCCAGCCCCCACAGCAGACCACCCCCAGACCGGGCGCCCGAGUCUGCGGACCGCUCUACCGCACCUGGUUCUGGCUCUGGGCCCCGGGCCCCGUGGCUGCCAGGGGCCGCCGGGAAGGGAGGAUGCGCGCCACUGGGGUGCGCCUGGCUUGCGGCACCCUCCUCCCGCAGUGGUCGGAAGAGGACUUCUGUAGACAAGACAGAUACUGUAAAGACAGCAAAGAACAAACAGAAUGGCAGAUUGCUAAUGUUUGAUCCAAACGAAAAAGUGAUGAUUGAAUCAAACGAAGCAAUGUCAGAUAAAUGCCUCUUUGGACGCAGACCAAGAUUGACAAGCAAACUUAAUACCUCACCAACACAGGUCUCUGUAAAUGUAGCUAAAACAUUCUCAGAAAAGAAGGAAGUCCCUUCUAAGAAUAUUGCAAAUAAAGUCUCUUUACAGACUACUGAAAAUAGAGUAUCUUCAAGGAGUAUCGAAAGUAAAGAUAUCUUAACAAAUCUACAGUCUGACCUAUUGUCAUCUUCCUGCUUAAAAGAAAGCACAGGUAAU